UACGUAGGGUGCAGGCGUUAAUCGGAAUUACUGGGCGUAAAGCGUGCGUAGGUGGUUUGUUAAGACAGAUGUGAAAUCCCCGGGCUUAACCUGGGAAUGGCAUUUGGGACUGCAAGGCUGGAGUGUGGCAGAGGAGACUGGAAUUCCUGGUGUAGCAGUGAAAUGCGUAGAUAUCAGGAGGAAUACCGAUGGCGAAGGCAGGUCUCUGGGCUGACACUGACGCUCAUGCACGAAAGCGUGGGGAGCAAACAGG
rnacentral:rRNA from 1 species